AGAGUUUGAUCCUGGCUCAGAUUGAACGCUGGCGGCAGGCCUAACACAUGCAAGUCGAGCGGAUGAGAAGAGCCUGCUCUUCGAUUCAGCGGCGGACGGGUGAGUAAUGCCUAGGAAUCUGCCUGGUAGUGGGGGACAACGUUUCGAAAGGAACGCUAAUACCGCAUACGUCCUACGGGAGAAAGCAGGGGACCUUCGGGCCUUGCGCUAUCAGAUGAGCCUAGGUCGGAUUAGCUAGUUGGUGAGGUAAUGGCUCACCAAGGCGACGAUCCGUAACUGGUCUGAGAGGAUGAUCAGUCACACUGGAACUGAGACACGGUCCAGACUCCUACGGGAGGCAGCAGUGGGGAAUAUUGGACAAUGGGCGAAAGCCUGAUCCAGCCAUGCCGCGUGUGUGAAGAAGGUCUUCGGAUUGUAAAGCACUUUAAGUUGGGAGGAAGG
rnacentral:rRNA from 1 species